rnacentral:rRNA from 1 species
CCUUCCUACAGGUGAAGCGGCUGCUUGCACUCGUGGAUCAGUGGCGAACGGGUGAGUAACACGUGAGUAACCUGCCCUCCACUCUGGGAUAAGCGCUGGAAACGGCGUCUAAUACUGGAUACGACCGACCCUCGCAUGGGGUGUUGGUGGAAAGAUUUAUCGGUGGUGGAUGGACUCGCGGCCUAUCAGCUUGUUGGUGGGGUAAUGGCCUACCAAGGCGACGACGGGUAGCCGGCCUGAGAGGGCGACCGGCCACACUGGGACUGAGACACGGCCCAGACUCCUACGGGAGGCAGCAGUGGGGAAUAUUGCACAAUGGGCGAAAGCCUGAUGCAGCGACGCCGCGUGAGGGAUGACGGCCUUCGGGUUGUAAACCUCUUUCAGCAGGGAAGAAGCUUUUGUGACGGUACCUGCAGAAGAAGCACCGGCUAACUACGUGCCAGCAGCCGCGGUAAUACGUAGGGUGCGAGCGUUGUCCGGAAUUAUUGGGCGUAAAGAGCUUGUAGGCGGUUUGUCGCGUCUGCUGUGAAAAUUCAGGGCUUAACCCUGGACGUGCAGUGGGUACGGGCAGACUAGAGUAUGGUAGGGGAGACUGGAAUUCCUGGUGUAGCGGUGGAAUGCGCAGAUCUCAGGAGGACCACCGCAUGCUGGAAAGUCAGCUCCUCUGGCACCAUUACUCUAACGCCUUGAGUAAU